rnacentral:rRNA from 1 species
AACGAACGCUGGCGGCAUGCCUAACACAUGCAAGUCGAACGAGACCUUCGGGUCUAGUGGCGCACGGGUGCGUAACGCGUGGGAACCUGCCCUUAGGUUCGGAAUAACUCCCCGAAAGGGGUGCUAAUACCGGAUAAUGUCUUCGGACCAAAUAUUUAUCGCCUUUGGAUGGGCCCGCGUUGGAUUAGCUAGUUGGUAGGGUAAAAGCCUACCAAGGCGACGAUCCAUAGCUGGCCUGAGAGGAUGAUCAGCCACACUGGGACUGAGACACGGCCCAGACUCCUACGGGAGGUAGCAGUGGGGAAUAUUGGACAAUGGGCGAAAGCCUGAUCCAGCAAUGCCGCGUGAGUGAUGAAGGCCUUAGGGUUGUAAAGCUCUUUUACCCGGGAUGAUAAUGACAGUACCGGGAGAAUAAGCGCCGGCUAACUCCGUG